ensembl:snRNA U6 U6 spliceosomal RNA
GUGCUCACUUCAGCAGCAUAUAUACUAAAACUGGAAAGAUAAAGAUAAUAUUCGCACGACACCUGCACAAGGAUGACAUGCAAAUUCAUGAGGAGUUCCAUAUUAAA